UUUUAUUUCAUUUCAUUUGUUUUAUUGUCCCCUACAAGAAUAAAUAUGGUUUAGGGGUGGGGAUGUUUACCGUUUACUAGUUUUCAAACAAGAAGGGGUGGGGUGACCCCCUCUGAACUUCCCUUUUAUUUCAUUUCAUUUGUUUUAUUGUCCCCUACAAGAAUAUAUAUGGUUUAGGGGUGGGGAUAUUGACCGUUUACAAGUUUUCAAACAAGAGGGAUCGGGGUGAUCCCCUAGGGACUUCCCAUUAAUUUCAUUUCAUUUGUUUUAUUGUCCCCUACAAGAAUAUAUAUGGUUUAGGGGUGGGGAUCUGGACCGUUUAAAAGAUAAUAGCACAUUCUUAUAUUGAACGGGGUGGGGAUGACCCCCGGUGACCUCCCUUUAAUUUCAUUUGAUUUGUUUUAUCGUUCCAUUCAAGAAUAUAUAUGGUUUAGGGGUGGGAUCUGGACCGUUUUACAAGAUAAAGCAUAUUCUCAAAUUGAAGGGGGUGGGGAUGACCCCCCAGGGACUCCCCCUAUAUAUCAUGUGAUUUGUUCUAUUGUCCUAUAAUCAUUUCUGAAGACUGAAUGUAUCUAUCACUUACAGUUUUCAAGUUAUAUUCAUUUGAAAAUUUUAGAAAAUAAAAUCCCAUAGGGUUCUAUAGUAAACCCCUUCCUCCUUUCUACCCCCCAAAAUACCCCUUAAUAGACCCC
rnacentral:lncRNA from 1 species